AGAGUUUGAUCCUGGCUCAGAAUGAACGCUGGCGGCAUGCCUAACACAUGCAAGUCGAAUGAAGGCUUCGGCCUUAGUGGCGCACGGGUGCGUAACGCGUGGGAAUCUGCCCCUUGGUUCGGAAUAACAGCGAGAAAUUGCUGCUAAUACCGGAUGAUGACGAGAGUCCAAAGAUUUAUCGCCGAGGGAUGAGCCCGCGUAGGAUUAGCUAGUUGGUGAGGUAAAGGCUCACCAAGGCGACGAUCCUUAGCUGGUCUGAGAGGAUGAUCAGCCACACUGGGACUGAGACACGGCCCAGACUCCUACGGGAGGCAGCAGUGGGGAAUAUUGGACAAUGGGCGCAAGCCUGAUCCAGCAAUGCCGCGUGAGUGAUGAAGGCCUUAGGGUUGUAAAGCUCUUUUACCCGGGAUGAUAAUGACAGUACCGGGAGAAUAAGCUCC
rnacentral:rRNA from 1 species